rnacentral:rRNA from 1 species
UACGUAGGGUGCGAGCGUUGUCCGGAAUUAUUGGGCGUAAAGGGCUCGUAGGCGGUCUGUUGCGUCGGGCGUGAAAACUCAGGGCUUAACCCUGAGCCUGCUUCCGAUACGGGCAGACUAGAGGUAUGCAGGGGAGAACGGAAUUCCUGGUGUAGCGGUGAAAUGCGCAGAUAUCAGGAGGAACACCGGUGGCGAAGGCGGGUCUCUAGUACGGUACUGACGCUGAGACGCGAAAGCGUGGGGAGCGAACAGG